UUGAUCAUGGCUCAGAUUGAACGCUGGCGGCAUGCCUUACACAUGCAAGUCGAACGGCAGCAUGAUCUAGCUUGCUAGAUUGAUGGCGAGUGGCGAACGGGUGAGUAAUACAUCGGAACGUGCCCUGUAGUGGGGGAUAACUAGUCGAAAGAUUAGCUAAUACCGCAUACGACCUGAGGGUGAAAGUGGGGGACCGCAAGGCCUCAUGCUAUAGGAGCGGCCGAUGUCUGAUUAGCUAGUUGGUGAGGUAAAGGCUCACCAAGGCGACGAUCAGUAGCUGGUCUGAGAGGACGAUCAGCCACACUGGGACUGAGACACGGCCCAGACUCCUACGGGAGGCAGCAGUGGGGAAUUUCGGACAAUGGGGGCAACCCUGAUCCAGCAAUGCCGCGUGUGUGAAGAAGGCCUUCGGGUUGUAAAGCACUUUUGUCCGGAAAGAAAUCGCACUUACUAAUAUUAGGUGUGGAUGACGGUACCGGAAGAAUAAGGACCGGCUAACUACGUGCCAGCAGCCGCGGUAAUACGUAGGGUCCAAGCGUUAAUCGGAAUUACUGGGCGUAAAGCGUGCGCAGGCGGUUGUGCAAGACCGAUGUGAAAUCCCCGGGCUUAACCUGGGAAUUGCAUUGGUGACUGCACGGCUAGAGUGUGUCAGAGGGGGGUAGAAUUCCACGUGUAGCAGUGAAAUGCGUAGAGAUGUGGAGGANUACCGAUGGCGAAGNCAGCCCCCUGGGAUANCACUGACGCUCAUGCACGAAAAGCGUGGGGAGCAAACAGGAUUAGAUACCCUGGUAGUCCACGCCCUAAACGAUGUCAACUAGUUGUUGGGGAUUCAUUUCUUAGUAACGUAGCUAACGCGUGAAGUUGACCGCCUGGGGAGUACGGUCGCAAGAUUAAAACUCAAAGGAAUUGACGGGGACCCGCACAAGCGGUGGAUGAUGUGGAUUAAUUCGAUGCAACGCGAAAAACCUUACCUACCCUUGACAUGCCACUAACGAAGCAGAGAUGCAUUAGGUGCUCGAAAGAGAAAGUGGACACAGGUGCUGCAUGGCUGUCGUCAGCUCGUGUCGUGUGAUGUUGGGUUAAGUCCCGCAACGAGCGCAACCCUUGUCUCUAGUUGCUACGAAAGGGCACUCUAGAGAGACUGCCGGUGACAAACCGGAGGAAGGUGGGGAUGACGUCAAGUCCUCAUGGCCCUUAUGGGUAGGGCUUCACACGUCAUACAAUGGUGCAUACAGAGGGUUGCCAAGCCGCGAGGUGGAGCUAAUCCCAGAAAAUGCAUCGUAGUCCGGAUCGUAGUCUGCAACUCGACUACGUGAAGCUGGAAUCGCUAGUAAUCGCGGAUCAGCAUGCCGCGGUGAAUACGUUCCCGGGUCUUGUACACACCGCCCGUCACACCAUGGGAGUGGGUUUUGCCAGAAGUAGUUAGCCUAACCGCAAG
rnacentral:rRNA from 1 species